CAGUAGCCACGGUAAAACGUAGGGUGCAAGCGUUAAUCGGAAUUACUGGGCGUAAAGCGUGCGCAGGCGGCUUUGCAAGACAGAUGUGAAAUCCCCGGGCUCAACCUGGGAACUGCAUUUGUGACUGCAUGGCUAGAGUACGGUAGAGGGGGAUGGAAUUCCCGGUGUAGCGGUGAAAUGCGUAGAUAUUGGGAAGAACACCGGUGGCGAAGGCGGCGACCUGGUCCUUUACUGACGCUGAGGCGCGAAAGCGCGGGGAGCAAACAGGAUUAGAUACCCCCGUAGUCCCUGUCUCUUAUAC
rnacentral:rRNA from 1 species